AUUGAACGCUGGCGGCAUGCCUUACACAUGCAAGUCGAACGGUAACGCGGGGCAACCUGGCGACGAGUGGCGAACGGGUGAGUAAUGCAUCGGAACGUGCCCGGUUGUGGGGGAUAACUGCUCGAAAGAGCAGCUAAUACCGCAUACGACCUGAGGGUGAAAGCGGGGGAUCGCAAGACCUCGCGCAAUUGGAGCGGCCGAUGUCGGAUUAGCUAGUUGGUGGGGUAAAGGCCCACCAAGGCGACGAUCCGUAGCUGGUCUGAGAGGACGACCAGCCACACUGGGACUGAGACACGGCCCAGACUCCUACGGGAGGCAGCAGUGGGGAAUUUUGGACAAUGGACGCAAGUCUGAUCCAGCCAUGCCGCGUGCGGGAAGAAGGCCUUCGGGUUGUAAACCGCUUUUGUCAGGGAAGAAAUCUUCUGGGUUAAUACCUCGGGAGGAUGACGGUACCUGAAGAAUAAGCACCGGCUAACUACGUGCCAGCCGCCGCAGUAAAAC
rnacentral:rRNA from 1 species